GAUGCCGCGUGCGGGAAGAAGGCCUUAGGGUUGUAAACCGCUUUCAGCAGGGAAGAAAAUGACUGUACCUGCAGAAGAAGGUGCGGCCAACUACGUGCCAGCAGCCGCGGUGACACGUAGGCACCAAGCGUUGUCCGGAUUUAUUGGGCGUAAAGAGCUCGUAGGCUGUUCAGCAAGUCGGGUGUGAAAACUCUGGGCUCAACCCAGAGCCUGCACCCGAAACUGCUGUGACUAGAGUUCGGUAGGGGAGUGGGGAAUUCCUAGUGUAGCGGUGAAAUGCGCAGAUAUUAGGAGGAACACCGAUGGCGAAGGCACCACUCUGGGCCGAAACUGACGCUGAGGAGCGAAAGCGUGGGUAGCAAACAGGAUUAGAUACCCUGGUAGUCCACGCCGUAAACGAUGGGCACUAGGUGUGGGUCUCUAACCAACGAGAUCCGCGCCGUCGCUAACGCAUUAAGUGCCCCGCCUGGGGAGUACGGUCGCAAGACUA
rnacentral:rRNA from 1 species